rnacentral:misc_RNA from 1 species
CUGUACUGGUACUUGUAUCCAAGAGAGCGAAAAACAGAUCGAACGUGCGUCUGAUGCCGCGCGCGGCCCGCCCAACCCCGACAAGGCAAUAUGUCGCGGUGCUGGUGCUGCGCAAGGCAUGGCCAACCUCUAGCACGUUACCCGAGUGUUUGUUUUCCGAGGACGCUGCCGCGAGUUCGCUGAUCGGAGGGAACCGAAAGCUGCGCAAUGUCCGUACGCGUGCCCUACUAGUUAGUGGCGUGCGUACGAUACGGCUUGCACAGACCCCGACCGGUCAGCAGGGCCGAACCCGCGCAGGGCACAUACGUCCGCUUUGGUUUGACAUAGCUAAGUGGCGGGCCGUCACACUGCGGCGUCAGUGGUGGCGGCCGUCCGUCGAAGAACGAGGAAGGAAGUGUUUUAACUCUGUUGCUGUUACUCGAACCC